UACGUAGGGUGCAAGCGUUGUCCGGAAUUAUUGGGCGUAAAGAGCUCGUAGGCGGUUUGUCGCGUCGGCUGUGAAAGCCCGGAGCUCAACUCCGGGUCUGCAGUCGAUACGGGCAGACUUGAGUGUUGCAGGGGAGACUGGAAUUCCUGGUGUAGCGGUGAAAUGCGCGAUAUCAGGAGGAACACCGGUGGCGAAGGCGGGUCUCUGGCAACACGUACUGAGGAGCGAAGACGUGGGGAGCGAACAGGAUUAGAAC
rnacentral:rRNA from 1 species